UACGGAGGGUGCGAGCGUUAAUCGGAAUCACUGGGCGUAAAGCGCACGUAGGCGGUGUCGUAAGUCGGAUGUGAAAGCCCUCGGCUCAACCGGGGAACUGCAUUCGAUACUGCGAUGCUUGAGUGCCGGAGAGGGUGGCGGAAUUCCAGGUGUAGGAGUGAAAUCCGUAGAGAUCUGGAGGAACACCGGUGGCGAAGGCGGCCACCUGGCCGGCAACUGACGAUGAGGUGCGAAAGCGUGGGGAUCAAACAGG
rnacentral:rRNA from 1 species